UUUGAUUAUUAUCCAUUUUUAUAGAAAAAGAUGGCAUUUUUCUUCUUUUCAAGAUAUUCAUUGUCUUAUAUAUCUCAAGAAGAGACACAUAGAAUAUAGAUAUCAAGAACAUAAAUAUCAAAGAAAGAAAUCUUCAAUAUAUUCUUGUAUCAUUGAAAAGAACAAGAAAGUCACUCAAAGAUGAUAUAAUAUUGAAUUAGAAUGGUUAUUGCCAAAAACA
rnacentral:lncRNA from 1 species